AGUGAACGCUGGCGGUAGGCCUAACACAUGCAAGUCGAACGGCAGCACAGUAAGAGCUUGCUCUUACGGGUGGCGAGUGGCGGACGGGUGAGGAAUACAUCGAAUCUACUUUUUCGUGGGGGAUAACGUAGGGAAACUUACGCUAAUACCGCAUACGACCUACGGGUGAAAGCCGGGGAUCUUCGGACCUUUCGCGAUUGAAUGAGCCGAUGUCGGAUUAGCUAGUUGGCGGGGUAAAGGCCCACCAAGGCGACGAUCCGUAGCUGGUCUGAGAGGAUGAUCAACCACACUGGAACUGAGACACGGUCCAGACUCCUACGGGAGGCAGCAGUGGGGAAUAUUGGACAAUGGGCGCAAGCCUGAUCCAGCCAUACCGCGUGGGUGAAGAAGGCCUUCGGGUUGUAAAGCCCUUUUGUUGGGAAAGAAAAGCAGCAGGUUAAUACCCCGCUGUUCUGACGGUACCCAAAGAAUAAGCACCGGCUAACUUCGUG
rnacentral:rRNA from 1 species